CGCGCCGUCGCCGCCAUCCUGACCAAUGGGAGCGCCGGCCUGCGGGAGGCACCGCCUUCUCUCGCGACGGGCACCCCACCCGACCAAUCGUGGGCCGGAUAGAGGAGGGAGGCGGGCACACGGCGGGGGCGUGGAUUCCGCGCGGCUGGCUCGGCGGGUGUGGCGGGAGCAGGCGGCUGCUCGCUACGGCGUCCGCGGUCGCUCGGCGGCUUGCCCGGGCUGGCUGCGGCCCAGUGCUGUGGACUACUCAGGUUCGUGUCGGAGGCUGAAGAGCCGUCGCCUUGUGAAGGCCAGACCUGCCUUUGGAAGCAUUUCCUGAGGUGAAUGGGUGCGAGGUGCUCUCUGAAAAUGAGCAGCGAUCCAGUGUGACUUAAAACUCGCCAGGAGGACCCGAAAGCGUUUUAACACCAGGAAGCAGCAGCUCGCUGGGCGGAGGGCAGAGCUCGCCUGAUAGGUUUGAUUGCUUCCUCUUUAGCAAUGCGUAUCGUUCAAAAAAUUGAGGCUUUGAAAGAGGAAAUGUUUCUUCAGCGCCCAUGGAACCGGCUCGCCCCGUAAGAUUGUUUCGAGGAAUCAGUAAGAUGAUAAAGCAAUAAAUAAAAAUUAAAAGGGGUCACAAACGUGAA